rnacentral:lncRNA from 1 species
UAUAAAAGUAGAGCUGGUUGACUCGACAUUUUUGCCAAAAGCCUUUAUUAAGACUAACACAAAGUAAGAGCAUCAUAUUUAUUUAUCAUCAGCCUACCACUAGAUUAGCACCUGUACUACAACACAUCACUUGAUUAUUACAAGCAAUAAUAACCAUAUCAGGUUCAUCAUCUGUUCUUCUUGCUAUCAUCAUUCUCAUGAACCAAGUUCAUUAGUGAAUGCUACGUUUGCCGCUGCUCUGUCAAGUUCUCACUGACCGGGAGAGACGGCGAUUCGAAUCGAAUUCCUAUCCAGCUGGAGGGUUAUUCCUAGCACUCACCCAAGCAUCCCCCGUCGAAGAGCCAACGGGUCACCUUUG